rnacentral:rRNA from 1 species
UACGAAGGGGGCUAGCGUUGCUCGGAAUCACUGGGCGUAAAGGGCGCGUAGGCGGCCAUUCAAGUCAGAGGUGAAAGCCCAAGGCUCAACCUUGGAAUUGCCUUUGAAACUGUUUAGCUUGAGGACGAGAGAGGUGAGUGGAAUUCCCAGUGUAGAGGUGAAAUUCGUAGAUAUUGGGAAGAACACCGGUGGCGAAGGCGGCUCACUGGCUCGUAUCUGACGCUCAGGCGCGACAGCGUGGGGAUCAAACAGG